rnacentral:lncRNA from 1 species
GGUUCUUUAAUCCUUGUAUGGGGUGUCCUGGAUGUGGUUAAAUAUGUAUGAAGAUUGUGAGUGAUUAAUAAGGGAUCAGUCACUCCUAAUAAGGGGAGUGAACAUCCUAUGUGAUCUCAUAAGUCGGUGAUUCUAGAGUCAUUGACCAAAGCAGGAUAAUAAUUAAAAAAAAAUUCUAAUGCAUCAUCAACUGAAUCAUCACCUUC